rnacentral:rRNA from 1 species
CAAUAGCGUAUAUUAAAGUUGUUGCGGUUAAAAAGCUCGUAGUUGGAUUUCUGUCGAGAACGCGCGGUCCACGCUUUGCGUGAGCAUCUGUGUCGGUCUUGGCAUCCUCUAGGGGAUCGUUUCUGCGCUUGAUUGCGUGGAGCGGAACUCUAGACUUUUACUUUGAGGAAAUUAGAGUGUUCACUGCAGGCAUACGCCUUGAAUACGUUAGCAUGGAAUAAUAAGAUAGGACCUCGGUUCUAUUUUUUCGGUUUCUAGAGCUGAGGUAAUGAUUAACAGGGAUAGUUGGGGGCAUUCGUAUUUAACUGUCAGAGGUGAAAUUCUUGGAUUUGUUAAAGACGAACUACUGCGAAAGCAUUUGCCAAGGAUGUUUUCAUUGAUCAAGAACGAAAGUUAGGGGAUCGAAGACGAUCAGAUACCAU